rnacentral:rRNA from 1 species
GACGAACGCUGGCGGCGUGCUUAACACAUGCAAGUCGAACGGAAAGGCCCUGCUUUUGUGGGGUGCUCGAGUGGCGAACGGGUGAGUAACACGUGAGUAACCUGCCCUUGACUUUGGGAUAACUUCAGGAAACUGGGGCUAAUACCGGAUAGGGGCUCCUGCUGCAUGGUGGGGGUUGGAAAGUUUCGGCGGUUGGGGAUGGACUCGCGGCUUAUCAGCUUGUUGGUGGGGUAGUGGCUUACCAAGGCUUUGACGGGUAGCCGGCCUGAGAGGGUGACCGGCCACAUUGGGACUGAGAUACGGCCCAGACUCCUACGGGAGGCAGCAGUGGGGAAUAUUGCACAAUGGGCGGAAGCCUGAUGCAGCAACGCCGCGUGCGGGAUGACGGCCUUCGGGUUGUAAACCGCUUUCGCCUGUGACGAAGCGUGAGUGACGGUAAUGGGUAAAGAAGCACCGGCUAACUACGUGCCAGCAGCCGCGGUGAUACGUAGGGUGCGAGCGUUGUCCGGAUUUAUUGGGCGUAAAGGGCUCGUAGGUGGUUGAUCGCGUCGGAAGUGUAAUCUUGGGGCUUAACCCUGAGCGUGCUUUCGAUACGGGUUGACUUGAGGAAGGUAGGGGAGAAUGGAAUUCCUGGUGGAGCGGUGGAAUGCGCAGAUACCAGGAGGAACACCAGUGGCGAAGGCGGUUCUCUGGGCCUUUCCUGACGCUGAGGAGCGAAAGCGUGGGGAGCGAACAGGCUUAGAUACCCUGGUAGUCCACGCUGUAAACGGUGGGUACUAGGUGUGGGGUCCAUUCCACGGGUUCCGUGCCGUAGCUAACGCUUUAAGUACCCCGCCUGGGGAGUACGGCCGCAAGGCUAAAACUCAAAGGAAUUGACGGGGCCCCGCACAAGCGGCGGAGCAUGCGGAUUAAUUCGAUGCAACGCGUAGAACCUUACCUGGGUUUGACAUGGAUCGGGAGUGUUCAGAGAUGGGUGUGCCUCUUUUGGGGUCGGUUCACAGGUGGUGCAUGGCUGUCGUCAGCUCGUGUCGUGAGAUGUUGGGUUAAGUCCCGCAACGAGCGCAACCCUUGUUCACUGUUGCCAGCACGUUAUGGUGGGGACUCAGUGGAGACCGCCGGGGUCAACUCGGAGGAAGGUGGGGAUGACGUCAAGUCAUCAUGCCCCUUAUGUCCAGGGCUUCACGCAUGCUACAAUGGCUGGUACAGAGAGUGGCGAGCCUGUGAGGGUGAGCGAAUCUCGGAAAGCCGGUCUCAGUUCGGAUUGGGGUCUGCAACUCGACCUCAUGAAGUCGGAGUCGCUAGUAAUCGCAGAUCAGCAACGCUGCGGUGAAAAAGUUCCCGGG